GAUGAACGCUAGCUACAGGCUUAACACAUGCAAGUCGAGGGGAAACGACAUUGAAGCUUGCUUCGAUGGUCGUCGACCGGCGCACGGGUGAGUAACGCGUAUCCAACCUGCCUCUGACCAAGGGAUAACCCGUCGAAAGUCGGCCUAAUACCUUAUGCAGUCGUCGGAAGUCAUCUGAUGACGACGAAAGAUUUCAUCGGUGAGAGAUGGGGAUGCGUCUGAUUAGCUUGUUGGCGGGGUAACGGCCCACCAAGGCAACGAUCAGUAGGGGUUCUGAGAGGAAGGUCCCCCACAUUGGAACUGAGCCACGGUCCAAACUCCUACGGGAGGCAGCAGUGAGGAAUAUUGGUCAAUGGGCGAGAGCCUGAACCAGCCAAGUAGCGUGCAGGAUGACGGCCCUAUGGGUUGUAAACUGCUUUUAUGCGGGGAUAAAGUGAGGGACGUGUCCUUCAUUGCAGGUACCGCAUGAAUAAGGACCGGCUAAUUCCGUG
rnacentral:rRNA from 1 species